AGCAGGCUUGACGGUCGCGGGCGGCAACGAAAGGACCCGUCUGAGGAAAGUCCGGGCUCCGCAGGGCAAGGGUGCCGGGUAAUACCCGGUGAAGGCGACUUCCAGGAAAGUGCAACAGAAAACAACCGCCCGUUUUUCGGGUAAGGAUGAAAAGGCGAGGUAAGAGCUCACCGGCAAUGCGGUAACGUAUUGGCCGUGUAAACCCCACCCGGAGCAACACCGUUAUGGGCCAUAUGGCUUGCCCGGCCGGCCUGAGGUGGCUGUGAUCCCGGCAGUAAUGCCGGGGCUAGAUAGAUGACCGUCCAUAAAGACAGAACCCGGCUUAUUGCCUGCUU
rnacentral:RNase_P_RNA from 1 species